CUACGGGGGGCUCCAGUGAGGAAUUUUGCGCAAUGGGGGGAACCCUGACGCAGCAACGCCGCGUGAGUGAUGAAGGCUUUCGGGUCGUAAAGCUCUGUCAAGUGGGAAGAACCUAUGCAGUGUUAAUAUCACUGUAUACUGACGGUACCACUGAAGGAAGCACCGGCUAACUCCGUGCCAGCAGCCGCGGUAAUACGGGGGGUGCAAGCGUUAUUCGGAAUCAUUGGGCGUAAAGGGCACGUAGGCGGCUUGGUAAGUCAGAUGCGAAAGCCCGGGGCUUAACCCCGGAAGUGCAUUUGAUACUGUCAGGCUUGAGUAUGGGAGAGGGAAGUGGAAUUCCUGGUGUAGAGGUGAAAUUCGUAGAUAUCAGGAGGAACACCGGUGGCGAAGGCGACUUCCUGGACCAAUACUGACGCUGAAGUGCGAAGGCGUGGGUAGCAAACAGGAUUAGAUACCCGGGUAGUC
rnacentral:rRNA from 1 species